rnacentral:rRNA from 1 species
GGACGAACGCUGGCGGCGUGCCUAACACAUGCAAGUCGAACGGGGUCCAUGAGAGCUUGCUCUCGGAAGACCUAGUGGCGAACGGGUGAGUAACACGUGAGAAACCUGCCUCGGAGUGGGGAAUAACUCGGGGAAACUCGAGCUAAUACCGCAUACCUUCAGAUGAUCGCAUGGUCGACUGAAGAAAGAAUUUCGCUCUGAGAGGGUCUCGCGGCCUAUCAGCUUGUUGGUGGGGUAACGGCCCACCAAGGCAACGACGGGUAGCUGGAUUGAGAGAUCGAUCAGCCACACUGGAACUGAGACACGGUCCAGACUCCUACGGGAGGCAGCAGUGGGAAAUCUUGCGCAAUGGGCGAAAGCCUGACGCAGCAACGCCGCGUGCGGGAUGACGGCCUUCGUGGUUGUAAACCGCUUUCAGCAGGGACGAAAAUGACGGUACCUGCAGAAGAAGCCCCGGCUAACUACGUGCCAGCAGCCGCGGUAAUACGUAGGGGGCAAGCGUUGUCCGGAAUCAUUGGGCGUAAAGAGCUCGUAGGCGGUUCAGUAAGUCGGGUGUGAAAGCUCCGAGCUCAACUCGGAGAGGCCACUCGAUACUGCUGUGACUAGAAUCCAGUAGGGGAGCGUGGAACUCCUGGUGUAGCGGUGAAAUGCGCAGAUAUCAGGAAGAACACCAGCGGCGAAGGCGGCUUCCUGGACUGUACCUGACGCUGAUGAGCGAAAGCUGGGGGAGCAAACAGGAUUAGAUACCCUGGUAGUCCCAGCUGUAAACGAUGAGUGCUAGGUGUGGGGGGCGACAAUCCUCCGUGCCGCAGUUAACGCAAUAAGCACUCCGCCUGGGGAGUACGGCCGCAAGGCUAAAACUCAAAGGAAUUGACGGGGGCCCGCACAAGCAGUGGAGCGUGUGGUUUAAUUCGAGGCAACGCGCAGAACCUUACCAGGGUUUGACAUCAUACCGACGUCUGUAGAAACACAGAUUUCCGCUUAGGCGGACGGUAUGACAGGUGUUGCAUGGUUGUCGUCAGCUCGUGUCGUGAGAUGUUGGGUUAAGUCCCGCAACGAGCGCAACCCCUAUCCAAUGUUGCCAACAGGUAAAGCUGGGGACUCAUUGGAGACUGCCGGAGACGAUCUGGAGGAAGGUGGGGAUGAGGUCAAAUCAUCAUGGCCCUUAAGCCCUGGGCUACGCACGCGCUACAAUGGCCGGUACAACGGGCAGCGAAGGAGCGAUCCGGAGCGAAUCCCAAAAAGCCGGCCCCAGUUGGAAUCGCAGGCUGCAACUCGCCUGCGUGAACAUGGAAUUGCUAGUAAUCGCGAAUCAGCUACGUCGCGGUGAAUACGUUCCCGGGCCU